UUUAACGGUCGCGGUAUCCUGACCGUGCGAAGGUAGCAUAAUCACUUGUCUUUUAAAUAAAGACUAGAAUGAAUGGCUAAACGAGGUUCUCCCUGUCUCUUACAAACAAUCAGUGAAAUUGAUUUUACUGUGCAAAAGCAGUAAUAUCCCCAUAAGACGAGAAGACCCUGUGGRACUUUAAGAACUAAUCAGCGAGCCAAAUUUAACUACCCCUCUCCCCAUGGGUCCACAUUAAACAUUCCCCUGAUUAUUACUUUCGGUUGGGGCGACCUCGGAGAACAAUAAAACCUCCGAAGAUAGGGCUAUUUCUCCUAAUUAAGAAUGACAUUUCAAAAUACCACUAGGUCCCAAAUGAUCCAAUAUUUUUGAUCAACGAACAAAGCUACCCCAGGGAUAACAGCGCAAUCCCCCUUCAGAGUUCAUAUCAACAGGGGGGUUUACGACCUCGAUGUUGGAUCAGRACAUCCUA
rnacentral:rRNA from 1 species